rnacentral:lncRNA from 1 species
CAGCCUUGGCCAGCCCAGAAAAGGGCUCCCGCAGUGCAGUGGGGGGGGGCUGAAGGGUUCCUCAAAUGCCACCAAAGUGGGAGCCCAGGCAGGGGAGGUGCCGAGAGCAAGCGAGGACUCUGAGGACUGCCAGCAUGCUGUCAGCUCUCAGAAGCACUGCACUGUCUCCCUCUUGCAGUGUUUCCCUCUUUUCAGGGACCCAGGAUUCGAGGUUUUCAAAUAUUAUUUUCUACAAGUUGGAUUGAAUCUUAAAUUCUUUCCAGGUUACAAGUCUCCAAGAAUUCCAGGAACUGGCCUUAGAAGAUAACCAUGGUUGUGAAGUGUCCCAUCUCUGGAAGAAAUGCUGAACAACUGAUUUACAGCUUUGUUGCCACUGGCCAGACCACCAGGUGGUCCAUUACUCAAGAUAAUCAUCACAACCAGAUAAUGCUGCUCUGCAAACUCCACCCCUCAUGUGCUUUGCCCAGCUCAGCCCACACAUACCCUACCCCUGAUGUCAAUUCCUGCAUAGUGCCUAAUUAAAAAGCCAUACUGGCUCUUUCUGGGGAGUCAGUCAAGGAAUCUUCUCUCUCUCUCUCUCUUUCUCUCUGUCUUGCUGCCUCCCUUAUGCCCAGGCAUAAGCUCCAGUGAAGCUUUGUCUGGGAAUCUCUUUCAGCCUCAUGUCAAUUUCUGUUAACUGGAGAGCCCAAGAACACAUGGUGGGUAACACAAACACAACAUGAAACUAAAGUUUUAUUUUCCAAGACAAAGCCCCAAUGGAACCUUUCCUCGCUAUUUCCUGAGACAUGUUGUCUGCCUUUUAAGAGGAUACAUGUGAGUAGCUGACCCCCAGAACUACUCUUUCCCCACAUAAUGAGGGCCUCCCAUGUCUCAUUUGUUUUUAGAGCUCCAUGACCAGCUAUGUCAUUUGGGCUUGAUUUUAUAGGUGGAGAAACUGAGGCCCAGAGGACACAUAUGGGGAGUGCAUGACCCAGUGUUUUGCCCAGGUCAACUUGACUCCCACAGUCAAGCGCGGCCCCGUUAGCUGAUUCCCAGCGGACUGAUAACCGUCUCUGGAAUGAAGCAGGGAGUGACUGAAUCAGGAAACCCAUCAACAGUGCUACCUACCCGUCUACUUGGAAAAGAAGAGGAAUUCCCACAAGCAGCUCUGGGAGACCUCUUAAUGCCCAGGGACACCUACAUCUCUCUGUCAAUCUCUUCUCCAGGUCAGCUCCAACUCUCAGGGUCUUUUCAGGGGCCUGACCCUCCUGCUUCGGCCCCCCAGUGAAUGAGGCCUCUCCUGGCCUGCCCCCUUCUCCCCGCCUCCCCAGAAUAUCCCUUUCCACUCUUUCAAAUGAACCUAAUCUGUGUCUGCUCCUGCCCAACCGCAUCUUCUGCCAGGCAGUUGGUGCCUGAAACCAGCUCAUGAGAGUUUCUAGCCCUGGAGAGAAGUGCGCAGCACAUUGGCUGCACCCAUAGCUCUGGCUUUUGUGAUCUGACCCAGAAAAGCC